ACCAGGAAUGAAGUUGGUGAUUCCUUAUAAAGGACUACAUCAUUGUAGUAAAAUGAGGAAAAUCUGUUGGGGGUGUGAGAGUUUGGGGAGAGAAUCCCAGCCUAUACGAAAUUGCACCACAUAAUUCAAAAUUCAAAAUAAAAAUAUAUUUUAAAAAGUUCAUACAGUGGCAGAAAUACUGUAAUUCUGCAUUGAGAAUAUAAUAGAAAUGAAUUCUUUCAGAAUGUAGAAAAUAAAAAUUAAUUUGAGCUUUUCAUCUUUAUUUAUUUUGUGGCUGUUACUUGAAGAAAAUAAAGUUUAAUUAGGAAAAAAUCAAGAGAGAAGUGAAGAGUCUAUUCAGGAAUUCUGGUUACCUAUAAGGUUCCAGGAGAUUAAUGUAAUUAAUUUUUAAAAUUAUUAUCA